UACGUAGGGUGCGAGCGUUAAUCGGAAUUACUGGGCGUAAAGCGUGCGCAGGCGGUUCGUUAAGUUCGUUGUGAAAGCCCCGGGCUCAACCUGGGAAUGGCAAUGGAAACUGGCGGGCUGGAGUGCGGCAGAGGGGGGUGGAAGUCCGCGUGUAGCAGUGAAAUGCGUAGAGAUGCGGAGGAACACCGAUGGCGAAGGCAGCCCCCUGGGCCGACACUGACGCUCAGGCACGAAAGCGUGGGGAGCAAACAGG
rnacentral:rRNA from 1 species